rnacentral:rRNA from 1 species
AGCGAACGCUGGCGGCAGGCCUAACACAUGCAAGUCGAACGGAUCCUUCGGGAUUAGUGGCGGACGGGUGAGUAACACGUGGGAACGUGCCCUUUGGUUCGGAACAACUCAGGGAAACUUGAGCUAAUACCGGAUGUGCCCUUCGGGGGAAAGAUUUAUCGCCAUUGGAGCGGCCCGCGUCUGAUUAGCUAGUUGGUGAGGUAAAGGCUCACCAAGGCGACGAUCAGUAGCUGGUCUGAUAGGAUGAUCAGCCACAUUGGGACUGAGACACGGCCCAAACUCCUACGGGAGGCAGCAGUGGGGAACCUUGCGCAAUGGGCGAAAGCCUGACGCAGCCAUGCCGCGUGAAUGAUGAAGGUCUUAGGAUUGUAAAAUUCUUUCACCGGGGACGAUAAUGACGGUACCCGGAGAAGAAGCCCCGGCUAACUUCGUGCCAGCAGCCGCCGUAAUAC